rnacentral:lncRNA from 1 species
GUUAAUGUUUUGCAGAUUUCGGCAAGGCUCCUGGGCCAUGGGUAUAGAAGUACAGUUUAAGCAGUGACAAAUAGAAAGCACAUGCUUAUUAAAGCUGCGUUACACAACUCAGAGCUGCUUUAAUGUCCUCUGCUCCUAAACCAACAAACCUGCGGGGACUUGUGCCCACCUGUGUGUGUCUUGGAAGAGGAAGGAUCGCUCCUGGGGAGUCCGCCGCAAACUCAGGCUGCUCCGACUUCGGGCGAUGUCCACGGGCUGCACCCAGAGCGUUUUCCCGAGGCUGGGGAGGGACGGGAGGUCGAGAGGAGCUGCAGCCCUGCUUCAGCACCACGGUGCUGAGUGGAGCYGGCAGGCGGGCGCAGGGCCACUUGAUCCGGCAGGGUCCCUGCUGCUGCCUCUGAUARAUGUGAAGUGAUCGGAGAGAGGGAAGUGAAGGGGCUACAGACUCAGCAAGACCUAUCGGAGGCUUCACAGCUGCUACAUGAAUUUACGUGGAAGACAGGGGUGCUCUCAGAAUGGGUGAGCUGAUGGACCCUAAUAAAGAUAUGAAUUUGAAAACUGCCA